UUGAAAUCUGGCCCUCUCAGGGUCCGAGUUGUAAUUUGCAGAAGGGUGCUUUGGUGUCGGCCGUGGUCUAAGUUCCUUGGAAACAGGACGUCACAGAGGGUGAGAAUCCCGUACGUGGCCGCCGGUCUUCACCGUGUAAAGCCCCUUCGACGAGUCGAGUUGUUUGGGAAUGCAGCUCUAAAUGGGAGAUACAUUUCUUCUAAAGCUAAAUAUUGGCCAGAGACCGAUAGCGCACAAGUAGAGUGAUCGAAAGAUGAAAAGCACUUUGGAAAGAGAGUCAAAAAGCACGUGAAAUUGUUGAAAGGGAAGCGCUUGCAGCCAGACGUGCCCGCAGUUGCUCACCUAGGCUUUUGCCUGGGGCAUUCUUCUGCGGGCAGGCCAGCAUCAGUUCGGACGGUUGGAUAAAGGCCUCUGUCACGUAUCUUCCUUCGGGAUGACCUUAUAGGGGAGGCGCAACACGACCAGUCUGAACUGAGGACCGCGCAUCAGCUAGGAUGCUGGCGUAAUGGCUGUAAGCGGCCCGUCUUGAAACACGGACCAAGGAGUCUAACAUCUAUGCGAGUGUUUGGGUGUAAAGCCCGGACGCGCAAUGAAAGUGAACGGAGGUGGGAACCUUUCGGGGUGCACCAUCGACCGAUCCUGAAGUCUUCGGAUGGAUUUGAGUAAGAGCAUAGCUGUUGGGACCCGAAAGAUGGUGAACUAUGCCUGAAUAGGGUGAAGCCAGGGGAAACCCUGGUGGAGGCUCGCAGCGGUUCUGACGUGCAAAUCGAUCGUCAAAUUUGGGCAUAGGGGCGAAAGAC
rnacentral:rRNA from 1 species